UUAGUUUUGCAUGCAAACCUUACCUUCAAAGGAUAUCCACUGUCCCCUAAGAGAUAUGCAACAUUAUAAGCUCCACUUUCAAACACACGGUGUCUUUGACUGUUUUGGUGUAUGGUAGAGUCA